GUAUAGUUGUUAUAUGGGAAAAAGGAUCAUUUUGAAAUAUUGGAUCACCCCCGACAUGUGCUGCAUUUGUUGUCCCUACCCGCGGCUAUGCCGCCGGGUAUGGGAGAGGGUAGAGGGGUGAGAAAGGGACCCCCUAAAUUUAACGACAAUUUCCUCUUUUAAGUGUCACUAGAGGCGCUUGAUUAGUCUUUUUCUGCCAAAAUCACAAGCAGACUAUUCUUGGCUGUUUUGUUGUUGGUUUCUUUCGAUUCGCUCUCAUUUAUAGAUUAUUAUCGAUUAUUCAUCAUAGCUGUGAAAUUCCUGAUUGAUUUUGACAUCACAAGAACGGUUACUGAUACAAGUGUUAGCCAAAACCCAUAAAUUUUACGAGUAAGAAUGGCCAAGUGGAUUUUCCUAGAUGAUGGUGUUACAGCCAUCAAUGAUGUGACAGGGGAAGUGUACAAGUUCGAGCCAUCAGUAAAUUACAAUGGACAAGGGCAGGCUCCACAAAAUGCAAGGGAUGAGUCUGCCAACUUGAAAGCGAAGCAGGAGAAACCUUUGAUUAUAAAUACUGAGCCAUUCUUCUAGAACAUAAAAUUAUAAGUGUUAUUAGUUUAAUGUUUGCAAGAUUGCUUUGAUGAAAAUAAGUGACGAUAUCACGACAAUUUGUUAAAAUUGUUUUGAAAUCUUUAUUUUUUAGGACUGCGUCCUUUACUGCUAAGCUCAGUGUGUGAGCAAAGCAGGGCACAUGCCUCCAAUUAUUGAUGUCACUUACAGCCUAAAAAGAUAAAAGAUUUCUUAUUUAA
rnacentral:lncRNA from 1 species